CCUACGGGAGACAGCAGUCGAGAAUCAUUCACAAUGGGGGAAACGCUGAUGGUGCGACGCCGCGUGGGGGAAUGAAGGUCUUCGGAUUGUAAACCCCUGUCAUGUGGGAGCAAAUUAAAAAGAUAGUACCACAAGAGGAAGAGACGGCUAACUCUGUGCCAGCAGCCGCGGUAAUACAGAGGUCUCAAGCGUUGUUCGGAAUCACUGGGCGUAAAGCGUGCGUAGGCUGUUUCGUAAGUCGUGUGUGAAAGGCGCGGGCUCAACCCGCGGACGGCACAUGAUACUGCGAGACUAGAGUAAUGGAGGGGGAAGCGGAAUGCUCGGUGUAGCAGUGAAAUGCGUAGAUAUCGAGAGGAACACUCGUGGCGAAGGCGGGUUCCUGGACAUUAACUGACGCUGAGGCACGAAGGCCAGGGGAGCGAAAGGGAUUAGAUACCCUGGUAGUC
rnacentral:rRNA from 1 species